UUGCCGGAUCACUAUGGAUACUCGUAAUCACUAGUCAGUCAGUACCAGCACCUCCACCAUGCAGUGGUGUUAAUCUUUCUUAUCAUGUUAGUCACCCUGAGUAUCUGCGAUCCUGCAGCAUGUGUGGAGCAAACAGUAUCCACGUCCGUGGAAAAAAUGUGAAGGGCUGGGCGGCAUAUGCAGAGAUUCCUGUCCGGAGGCCAUACAACUCAAACAAGCUGAGGAUUGUGGUUCCCAAAUUUGCUGUGCUCUAGUUAAAUAAUGAUCUAUAUUAUCUUAUGUAAGUUUUAUUUGAAUAAAUACAAAUGAAAUAUU